AUUGAACGCUGGCGGCAGGCCUAACACAUGCAAGUCGAGCGGUAGAGAGGUGCUUGCAUCUCUUGAGAGCGGCGGACGGGUGAGUAAUGCCUAGGAAUCUGCCUAGUGGUGGGGGAUAACGUUCGGAAACGGACGCUAAUACCGCAUACGUCCUACGGGAGAAAGCGGGGGAUCUUCGGACCUCGCGCCAUUAGAUGAGCCUAGGUCGGAUUAGCUAGUUGGUGAGGUAAUGGCUCACCAAGGCGACGAUCCGUAACUGGUCUGAGAGGAUGAUCAGUCACACUGGAACUGAGACACGGUCCAGACUCCUACGGGAGGCAGCAGUGGGGAAUAUUGGACAAUGGGCGAAAGACCUGAUCCAGCCACGCCGCGUGUGUGAAGAAGGGUCUUCGGAUUGUAAAGC
rnacentral:rRNA from 1 species